GACAGAGGUGCCGAGCGUUAGGCGGAAUCACUGGGCUUAAAGCGUGUGUAGGCGGGCGGGCAAGUACCUUGUGAAAUCCCACGGCUCAACCGUGGAACGGCUGGGUAUACUGCCUGUCUUGAGCCAACUAGGGGCGAGCGGAACAGACGGUGGAGCGGUGAAAUGCGUAGAUAUCGGGAGGAACACCUGUGGCGAAAGCGGCGCACUGGACCAUAACUGACGCUGAUGCGCGAAAGCUAGGGGAGCAAACAGG
rnacentral:rRNA from 1 species